GACGAACGCUGGCGGCGUGCUUAACACAUGCAAGUCGAACGGAAAGGCCCUGCUUGCAGGGUACUCGAGUGGCGAACGGGUGAGUAACACGUGGGUGAUCUGCCCUGCACUUCGGGAUAAGCCUGGGAAACUGGGUCUAAUACCGGAGAGGAGCCAUCUUUAGUGUGAUGGUUGGAAAGUUUUUUCGGUGUAGGAUGAGCUCGCGGCCUAUCAGCUUGUUGGUGGGGUAAUGGCCUACCAAGGCGGCGACGGGUAGCCGGCCUGAGAGGGUGGACGGCCACAUUGGGACUGAGAUACGGCCCAGACUCCUACGGGAGGCAGCAGUGGGGAAUAUUGCACAAUGGGCGCAAGCCUGAUGCAGCGACGCCGCGUGGGGGAUGACGGCCUUCGGGUUGGAAACUCCUUUCGCUAGGGACGAAGCUUUUUGUGACGGUACCUAGAUAAGAAGCACCGGCUAACUACGUG
rnacentral:rRNA from 1 species